rnacentral:sRNA from 1 species
AAAAUGAUUCGAUAAGAUUGCUUGCAGGAAAUUCCAGAAUUUUCUAUAGAGUAACAGACAUGGCUCCUGCUGUGAACCUCAAGAAUUUAGCUUACCCUUGAUGAUCAAAUUUUUUGAAAAACAAAAAACAAUGGUUCUGUCCUUUGUUGAGAAGGCUUCAUAUGCUUGGCGUCUGGGUGUUUGUUUACACAUAGCUGUUUCCUCUCCGUGAUUGACCUCUCUGCGCAUCCAACCUGAACUCUGGCGAUGUGAUUGGCUACCACCCUGAAAGGCAUAAGAUGUGAUUGACUACCUCCCUUCAUAGAUCAGUGAGGGCGUGCUGUGAUUGGUCACCGCCCUUACAGACAGCCGGGAUUAACGGCGAUGUCCUGUGAUUGGCCACCGCCCUUCAUAGGAGAUCAACAGGAGUGUCCUGUGAUUGGCCACCGCCCUUUCAGACAGCCGGGAUCAACGAGGGUGUGCUGUAUUUGCUUGCUUUUCAUACUUCUUUCCCCAGAAACCUGCCUUGAAAAGAUCCUGGUUUUAGAAGAGGAAGCCAGGGAAGUGAGCUGAGAGCCAUUAGUCUCCUGCCAGCGUGUCGUCGGAUAGCAAUGGUGUCUCCCAGGAGAUGUGGAAUUUAUGAUCACGGCCUGCAUGUUCUUGACUCAUCUCCGGAUCAUCUGUGGACAACACAGGUGUGAACCAUCCUGUCAGGAAGCCCGACUGUGCAGAAAAGAGGGCUGGGUGUGCAAUAGGCUAUCUCAGCGUGUCCUACUCUGAGAGGACGCCUAAUUGGACAAGGAAAGACAGCAAAGAAGGGUGGGUUAGGUCUCUGAAAAGGGAGAAGGUGGGCUUUAACCAAACCGGAUGAUCUUUCUCCAGCUAAGUCUCAGAUCCUAAAGCUCCAGAUCCUUCCAGAGUGGCACUGCCAGUUGUGGACCAACCACUCAACCUGAAGUUUUUUGGAGGGACUUUUCUUUUCCAAAGCAUAAAUACAACCUCUUCGCAUUCUUUAAAAAGAAAUCGAGAAAAGCUUUUCCUUGCGGGGGCUGCAUCCACCGAAGAGUACCAGAAAUUGAGGUUGGCAGAGUAUAAAAAUGUUAAUUCAUUCAAAGCAACAAACCCAUUUCACGUUAGCAUAGAUUACAUAUGUUGAUGAGAAAUAAUUAGCAGCCCCCCCUCCCCAAGUGGUAGAAAUGGUAGCAGUUGAAGCACAUCCUCUCAUCUCCCCUUACAGGAGACAGUUGGGUUCUUGUGUCUGUUGAAAUAUUAUGUGUCCACUGAGGUAGAUGGAGAAACACACAAGUUAAGGCAGAUAGGGUAUUAGAAAAAAGAGCGGUUAGAUGGUUGCUUCUGAACCCUGUGGCCGUUCUGCCCCUGACACUGCACAACCCCACUUGGAGUGUCUUUAUAUUUAAGGCCAUGUGAUACCUGAACCAAAGAACAUUCCAUUCCGUCUCCGCAAACCUCGCUGCGUGAGGGUACUCUUCAUAUUUUUAUUUUCAUCCAUGCAUGGGUUGGUAAUGCCUCAUGUUGGUCACUUGAAAAGAUUGGUUAGCUGAGUGGAUACCAGUCUUCCAGUGUUUUAUACAUCUUACUCUGUGAUAACCAAAGGAUGAAGUCACGUCUUAAUUCCCAUUCACGUAUUGCAUUGAAAAAGCACUGAUAAAGACUCAGUACUGAGAGGAGGCUGCCCCGGUGGCACACUCACGUUCUGUAAAAAUCCAGAUCUUCACUUGGAAAGUCGAUCUCUUUGUCAUCGCACCAGAUACUCUUGGCUGUUAUUCUCAAAGUGCUUGAAUCACCUCAUGCAUUUUCCAAGUGUCUGCGGAAGCUCAGGUCUGAAGAAUAGACUGCUAGCUUUCUUUUCCAGAAACUGGGUUCAGUGAGGGAGCAGCCAGCUGAACUCACGGCUCGAUGGUUUCCCUGGUGUGUCCCUUUGUGAUAACUGCCUCUCCCGUGUCUGCAGGAGAAAUGCUUUGUGCUUCCUCCCUCAUCACACAGAACAGAAAUGCAGGUCUGCACAGGGACUCAUGGACAUAGAAAUCUGUACGACUCCGUCAAGAGCAUUCUGACUGAAGCUGGCAUUUGUUUUGUUGGGAGUGUGGACUAUGGCGGUCACAACAGACGCUCCUUCAGGCUGACUCAUGCUAAAGUGCUGAAUUAGCCAUGCUUACUUGGUCCAGAUCUUGGCGUAGUGGGCAGGCCUUGGGGUUAUUUAAAAAAACAAACAAACAAACAAACCGGCUUUGUUCUUGUUUUCUGUUUUACAGUACUAAGGCUUGAACCUAGGGACUCCAGUCCUCUAGGCAAGCACUCGACAACUGUAGAUCUCCUUUCUGGUUUUGAGACAGGACCUCGGUAGAUUCCCCAGUGGCCUCGAUCUCUGUGUGUGGAGUGAGUGCCAAGUGUGCACAGGCGAGGCCGGGAAGAAGAUGCUGCCUUUAGGAGCCUUCCCAAGCUCAGAUUUGCAGUAGGGGGAUCUGUUGCAAUGAAGUGCUGUGUUUCCUCUUCUAUAAGGAGGUGUCUCUGGGUGGAUUAAAGCCCAGAACGUGUUCACGGUCUGCUCCAAGUGCUUCUCUGCGUUCGUCAGAUGAAUUAGAGCUGACGUGCUUGUGCCUUGGGUGUCAGGGAAUGCCCUGGGACACUGAAAACUCCAGUUACUGACUCAGAGGGUGUGAGGCAGGGGAGCCUGUGCGUGCCACAAGUCCCUGAGGUCUCAAGCUUCCAUUUUGGGUAGCAGAGUAUGAGGAACAGAAGCAAGCAUUCCACCAUUUCCCAUGCAGGCCAUUCAGCAAACGCGUGCCGGUCCUUCAUAUCCAUCUGCGUGAAGCCGAGCUCCACAGUCUUCUCGUCUCUCCUGAUUUCUCUUAGCCUUACCUGAGGAUCGGAAGCAUUUUUUUUUUUUUUGGUCUCUCCAUACAUCAGUUUGACAGUCACUGAUCCACUAUUUACAUGUUUUCUACAAGUUCCGUUUUUUCCAUACUAAUUUCAAUGAAAGCCAAACGACUGGGCUCUGUAGAUUAAGUCAGAGGCUCCAAGCUCUCUGCCCAUCUUUGCUGCUUUCUUCUUUCCCUGCUUUGAAAGAUUCACUCUCAGUGCUGCUGCCGUAGGUGUGCCACAUGAGGUGUUGGUAGCUUGAAUAAUUAUUGUGAGCUUACAACUCCAUAGUCAUAUAAAGACACGCAAGUAUGAAGUUCUGUGAGACUUCAUACUGAGUGCCAGCAACCAAACAGGACAAGAUGGUGUGUGUGUUUAUGUUAGUCUGGGGACGGGGUAUUGAUAAGUCAGUAGAUAAUUAUAAAACAAUACAGGGAUAGAGAAAGGGAUAGGGAGGUUGUGGCAUCUAAUCCAUGGGGGGUAGGUUUCCCAAGGCAGUGGGUUGUAAGCUGAAGUCUUGAGAGGGUAUUUGAAUCGUAUACCCAGAGGCCAGACUGAAUAAAGUGUGUCUGGUGAGCCCUGGAGACACCAUGUCUUUGAGAAGGCCGAUGGGACCAGCUCAUUGAGUGUAGGUUGGUGUUAAGCUGUCCAUAGUAGGCAGUGCUCAUGUGAGAGGAGGUUUAAGUUGAAGUUCUCUAUGUCCCCUGGGUUUUGUAACCUCACUGUCCUUCACACUGAGGGCUGGGUCCUUCUUUCUGGAUGUUGGAGAGAGACUGUCCGUGCACUGAGAAACCUCCAUGUCCUGUCUUAGGUGGUAUCUUCACUUCCCACCACUCCAGUGUUGAUGACUCAAAAUAGCUUGAGAAAUCGCCAGCUGCCUUUUAGUGAGGUCGAGCUUGCCCCCGGUUGAGAACCAGGUUUACCCCUUUGGACCGUCACCAUGGCAGUGGCACUGUGGAGAAUGGGUUGGGAAUGGAUAGCAUUUGAGGUUGGGGAACAUAUUAGGAGGCUGUAGUUGCAAUCAGGGUAAGAAAAAGAAAAUCCAAAGUGUGGUUACAGGACUAGAAACAUCUCCUGAACCUGAGACAUCUAGAAGAUAGCUUCAACAAGGCUCGAGGAAGAGAGCAAUGAAGACUGACCCAAGAUUUCUGGACUGCUUCCUGCAGAGACCCUGACAGGAUUCAUGCGUGAAGAGGGCACAGAGGCAGCACAUGUUUACUUGGGGACUAGAGAACGAUGCUGACUUUUGGUGUGAUGACUUUGAGGUACCCACACAAGUCAAGGAGAGGGUUUCAUCUGUAGUAGUGCUCCAGUUUAGGAAGACAGAUCUGACUUUUGAACUGUGAGCAAGGCAGUGACUCAUGCAGUGGCGAGAGCGUGGAACCAAGGUCGGGUCCUGCCUCGUGCCAGGUAGUGAGCACAGAAGCGGAGGAGAGGCCAACCUGGAAGGUUGAGGAGCUGGCUUUGCGAAGAGAGGUAUACUUACACAGAACCUUAUACAAAUGGUUCGAGCUCCCCACUUUCUCCAAAGGUUGGGAGCUUCCUGUGCUCCUUGAUGCUCGCCAGCUGCUCUCAAAUGAUUGACCUUUUCAAGUUUUGGAGAUUUGCCUGUCUGUCCUCCAUGUAACUGAAACAGAAACUCCAAGUGAUCACAUCUAGAGUUGAAAGAUGGCUGCUCUCCCAUCCUGACUGACACUGGCCCAGACUGAUGAAUUAUUUAGGGACUUUGUAAUGGCAAUGUACCCCCUGAGCCAAGAUCACAUGCUGUGCUUGGGGACAAUCCCUUUGAGUUGGUGUGUAGUAGAACUGCCUUGGUGCACUAGAAAAGCCAUUCUGGUACCUGACAGAUUGUGUAGCCCUUGCCAAGUGGGAAGAUGCUAUACGGCCAAGCCUUGGAUAGCAUCAUCACUGCACAUAUUGUAUUUUUUUUCUGAGUGCUAUGAGCUCCACAUACCUGACCUUUGAAUGUUCUAAUGUAUUAUUUACGUGGGGCUAAGAGCCACCGCAUUCUAAAGGCCUGUGAUUUAUCAUGAACAUUUCAGAAUUGAGUCCUGUGGCCAUAUGCUAAUUUGACUUGAAGGAAAUUCUGUGCUGCGUGCUGGAAUUUCAUGCUUAAAAUUUCAGCAAUGGUUCCUCCGCUCUAUUAAUUAAAACAAGACGCUUCAUAACUUUUCCACACAAUAAAGAAAGCAUUCAGCAGCACAUAUUUGAAUUAAAACCCUUAGAAGCCUUACAUUUUCUGGUCUGGCAACCUUGGAUUUCUAAUUUAUGUGUCCCAUCUGUCCUGAAGGAGAAGACAAGUUGAAAUUUACAGUCAUCCCAACUGAGAGUAUUACAGUUCUUCAUUAUAUCAAAUUAGAACUUAUCUGUAUAUUCAAAUAGGAAAAAACACAUGAUUGGACAAAGUGAAAUUUACAUUUAAUUCACGGUGGGUUAUUUCCUGAACUUCAGGCCAUUCUGCUUCCCAGAUAACCCUACUCGGUUAUGAGAUGAACCUAGGGAAAACCAAUCUUGAUACAACUUUUUAAACACUGACUAGUGGGACCAGGAUUUGGGCUCUGCAGAAGUUAGUGUAAUGAGCCCCUGCACCUGGGAAUUGUAACUGUAUACCUGGGAAUUUGCAACUGUAUUCCUGGGAAUUUGUAACUACAUACCUGGGAUUUUGUAACCAUUCUGUGAUUAUAGUAAGAAGCUGCAAUGUGGUGGGCUCCUAUAGGAGGUACCAGUAGAGCAGAGAUAGACAACAGAGAUGGGAAUGCGGCUCCCAGGUGUUUUAGAGCAUCUCCGUCAUUGUUUUCACAAUGAGAUUCUCAAGGUCAUGCUUAUCCCUGCCUCUGAGGUCUGCAAGAGACUCCUGAAGCCUUCUGAUAAACUUCCUGGGCUCUAUAACCAGAUCAAAUGUUUUCUGGCACACUGGAGCCACAAAAUGAGACAGAUUUCUGUUUCCCGAUGAGAUGGAUCAUAGCUUCUGUGAUUCCUUUAUAACUUCAGAUCAUGUUCUUUCCAGAGUUAAUAAUUGAUGGCUUUCUCGGGACGCUAGCCAUUGUGUAGUUUCUAAAAACCACAACAAUAAAUAGAGAAUUUGAAAUUAGUUUCUCAAGGGAGAGGCAUGUGUGCAUGUGUCUGAGAGAGGUUCUUGGUUCUAGAUUUGGGAAGUUAAAGCCUUUUGAAGUUUGAUGUGGACAAAGGCUAUAACCCCUCAGGACUUGGAAGCAGGUAAUGUUUUCAGAUUUCAGUUAAUGAUUUCAGAGAAUUCAUUACUGAGUUAGAAAUUAAGUUUAUAAGUGGCCUCCUGGCUUCCAGGCGCGAAGGACAAUUUUUUUUUGUACUUAUUUGCUAACGAUGAUGGUUUCUUACUUAGGAACUUACCAGGCUGUGGGUGUAACAAGGAAACAGCUUUUCUAAAAGCAAAAGACCGCAGAGUGAGAAACAUCUCCCUGGACUCAUAUCUGCGCUCCCCAAGGAGCCUUGUGCUGAGACUGGAUCCUUCUGGAUGACAGAUAUGGGGACUUUGACAUCAAUACUCCCCAGUGAAUUGCUAGUGAGAAAAUAUCACUCACAUACAAAGAACCAAGAAGUUUGUGAAAUUAAAAUUAAUUUGUUUUGAGAUUAUGGACCUGUAUUUUUUUUCCUGUGUGCUAAAUCAUGCCAUUGGAUAUAUUUAUUUAAUAAAAUGAAAAGUGGCCAACCUUGUACUGGG